UACGUAGGGUGCAAGCGUUAUCCGGAAUUAUUGGGCGUAAAGAGCUCGUAGGCGGUUUGUCGCGUCUGCUGUGAAAACUGGAGGCUCAACCUCCAGCCUGCAGUGGGUACGGGCAAACUAGAGUGCGGUAGGGGAGAAUGGAAUUCCCGGUGUAGCGGUGAAUGCGCAGAUAUCGGGAGGAACACCGGUGGCGAAGGCGGUUCUCUGGGCCUGUUCUGACGCUGAGGAGCGAAAGCGUGGGGAGCAAACAGG
rnacentral:rRNA from 1 species